rnacentral:misc_RNA from 1 species
CAAGAAGCCGAAAGGCUACUUAAAACCAUCGCGAACUUAUCCAAGUUACUUCGGCGGCGCGGCUCCCCUCACGGGGGACCGCAGCCCCCGCCUCUCAGGAGGUAAGGGGCAGCCGCCGGAGGUACGAAACUCUGUAUUAUAGUGGUAUCUCUGAGUAUAAAACAAAUAAGUUA